AUGUACCAGUUGAGCUGUGCCAGUUGUGUUUCACUCCUCUGACUGGGAGGAUGGAUGGAUGGAUGGAUGGGGGAAGCUUGGUGAGAAGAGCAAGGGAUUUGGCUCAGCACAUUCAGCCUCAGCUCUGACUGUGUGAUGUUACAGGGCAGGUCAAAGUGUGAGAGAAGUGAGUGUGGAAAGGCAGAUAACCAGCAAUUUGCUGUGAGUAUGACCAUUGAAGAGGAUCAGUGGACUUGGUUUGUCCAAAGAAAAAUGCAGAGAGAGAAAACAGAGGGAGAAGGAAGCAAACAGUGCAUCACGUGAACCAUCCAAGAAGUGGCUAAAGGAGCAGAACCAGAGAAGGAUAAAUUCAUGAAGCCAGGAGAGGGCUGCAGGAAUCUCAUUAUAAAUUUCAUAUUAAGUUGUGUAUCUCAAGAAAUCCCUGACUUUUAAUCUUUAUCUCUUUUCCUCGAGUGCAUGAACAACUGACUUGUCCUUCUGGCUGCUCUCAGGUCUUUCUGAGCCAUCACUGCCCAUCCCAUGUGCCUCCCUCUCUUCUGGCUGCACCCAGGCUGAGUUUGCUGCAAGGGAACACUGCUCAGGCGAUGGAGUAUCCAUGUCAGCCCCCCUACGGUUAAAACCAACCUUGCCCUUUGAAAGCCCCAGUUCUUCCAGUCUGGCGACUGCAUGAAAUGUGGGAUGUAUUACAUGCACUUGGCAAUAGAGGCAAACUUAGAGAAAACGGGAAAAGCAACAACAACAACAAAAAAAGGAAUCUUGAAAUUUGGCAGAAAAAAUGCAGUGCACAAACCCCACAGGAAUGUGAGCAUCUUUGCACAAAGCCACUUAUGGAUGCAUUCCUUAAAGUUUGAUACCAAAUUUCCAGCUACUGAAGGUAAUUGAGACUGCAAACAAAAUCUCACUAUCCACUGAUCUGCCAAAUCAAAUUUCUUCUCCUGUUUGCAAAAAUAAGCACCGGUGAAUGAAGAUGAAAGGGAAAUGUUGCUGGUUUCUUCCCUGGAGAUCGUAUUUCUUACUUGUUGCAUAACUGCUUAUUUUAGCAUCAAUCAGCCGAGCCUUUGUUGUGCAGACAAUUCUGUCCUUUUAGAGGAUUUGUGCAGUAUUGUUUCUUCCAAAAUGCCUUUUUUUUUUUGUUUUUGUUAUUAGAUUUGUUUCUUCUCUUAGCAAAUGCCAACUGACAACACCCCGUCAGAGCUCUUCAUAAGUGUUACAUAAAUGUCAUACUAUGUAAACUGAGUGUUGGAUGUAUCAUAUACAUGACCUUUCUUGGAGAACCAUCCAUCAGGUGCUAUCUGAGUGUGUGUGUCACAUUUAUGUGUUUGUACACAAGCCGUGUUUAAGUGUGCAUGUAUGGUAGCCAAAAUUCUAUUACGGAAAGUACUCAAAAUGCAGAAAUGUCUGAACUCUUCUUGUCAGUGCAACUUCAUCUACCCCCUUUCGUUGAGGCAGAACAAGACUUUAAUUUCAUGUUCAGAUACCCUUUUCCUUCUGCAUCGCUGUGUGUGCAGUGAGAUGGGCAGCAAGGGGCUCAGUGAUGCCUAUUGUUCAGCACAUGAGCCCGGGUAGAGUACAUUAUUCAGCACAUUAUUCACAUGUCUGACCACUUUUGGAUUUCACAGCGAUAGAAAACACGGCUCAAAUACUUCUCGGUGCAGUUUUCAAAGCAGAGCCAGGUGCUGAUGUUCUGGAUGGCAAAAAUGCAUUGAGGUUGCAUCUAGGCUGUGGACCUGCCCUGCCAUGCUGUGACCUUCCUUAGAGAUGUUGUCCAGAAAUCAUGGAGAAAUUGCCUCAGAGGGUGGGAAGGCUGCAGUGUGCAGUACAGGACCCGAGCAGGGGGACCUGCAGGUUCCUCAAAAGACACAGUUAUUAAUGUCCUCAUGGUUCUUUCUAUAGCACUUUCCACUACACUGCCUCAGUGCUUCAGCACCUUCAUUAAUCCUCCCCAAACGCCCGUUUUGAAGAUGGGUCAGGGUGACACAUGGAUGGAUUAAGGUCAGUUUUGACUAAUUCAGGGUACUCCAUCUGAAAAGCAUAAUGUCUGAUUUUUCAGAGCAUUUAACAUGAUACAGCACUUCACACAUGCAAGCACAGCACCCACUGCUUCCAGCUGCACGAAGAUGGAUGUCAGCAAUUCAGGCUAAAGGUUUCCAGCCACGCACCCACAGUGUGGGCACUGCAGCCUCCAGCAGCCAAAAGUCUGGGUUAAUGACUUUGUUAGCAUCAUACAGCCUGUGGCAAGGGCACGGAAGGAAUCCGCUUCUUUGGGAGAGUUUUGUCCUAUUGUCACAGUCUCUCCGAAUCUCAGAGCCCUUGCAUUGCUCCUUGGGCAGUUUAUGGUUCUGCAGAUAAGAUGAGGAUCUGGCCAAAGUGUUUUCUUUUUGACUUACACAGCAGGUCCAGGGUGUGCAGGUGUUGUAAGGAAAUCAGACUGGGGCAGUGUAAUUAACAACUGCAUUACAGUAUGU